GUGUCAGUGGUGUGACUGUAGUGACUCAGAAUCCUCCAGUUCUCACAGUGAAUAAAGGACAGAAAGUCACUCUCAACUGUAAUCUGGGGACAGGUCCUUAUGAUAAAGCAGUAUGGUAUAAACAGACUCCAGGAGGAGUUCCUCAACACUGAGGAGGUUUCUGUACGGCUGAACAUAUGAAAUGUAUCACUGUGGUAUUCGGACAAGGAACAAAACUGAUGGUGUCUGAUUCUGCUGUUCCUCCUCCUGUUGUGAACAUCCUCCCAUCCAGUGAAGAUCAAAGCUCCAGUAAAAUCACUCUGGUGUGUCUGAUCAAUGAUAUGCCCAUGGGUUUUGCUGAUGUGCGUUGGCUUGUCAAUGGAAUCUCAGUUACUGAUGGUGUCUUCACAAGCUCUGCUGAACAACAGCCUAAUGAGAAAUUCAAAAUGAGCAGUUAUUUCACCACUGAGAGCUCAGAGUGGGAGAAAGACAAAGAUCUGACAUGUGAAGUGACUGUCGGCUCAAGAGCCACUGCCAGAAACAUCAAGAAAUCUCAGUGCAGUGACUGAAAUCAAAUAUGUUUUUGUCUUGUCUUGAUUUUUGUGAUAGUGAAUGAUAGUUUCUGACAUGUAGAGUUGUAGAAAUUAUUCAUCUGGAAAUUAUUCAAAAUAGUUUAAGGGUCUUAGUGACUUGAUUUGUGUAAUUUGGCUUUUGUUUUGUUAAAAGAUCUAUGCGCA